rnacentral:rRNA from 1 species
UGGGGAAUAUUGGACAAUGGGCGCAAGCCUGAUCCAGCAAUGCCGUGUGUGUGAAGAAGGUCUUCGGAUUGUAAAGCACUUUCGACGGGGACGAUGAUGACGGUACCCGUAGAAGAAGCCCCGGCUAACUUCGUGCCAGCAGCCGCGGUAAUACGAAGGGGGCUAGCGUUGCUCGGAAUGACUGGGCGUAAAGGGCGCGUAGGCGGCUUGUACAGUCAGAUGUGAAAUUCCCGGGCUUAACCUGGGGACUGCAUUUGAUACGAGCGGGCUAGAGUGUGAAAGAGGGUCGUGGGAUUCCCAGUGUAGAGGUGAAAUUCGUAGAUAUUGGGAAGAACACCGGUGGCGAAGGCGGCGACCUGGUUCAUGACUGACGCUGAGGCGCGAAAGCGUGGGGAGCAAC